rnacentral:tRNA from 1 species
UUCCCAUGCCGGGAAAAGAACCCGGGACGCCUGGGUGAAAGCCAGGAAUCCUAACCACUAGACCACAUUGGA